GGCGCGAUUAGCUAGACGGCGGGGUGACGGCCCACCGUGGCGACGAUGCGUAGGGGUUCUGAGAGGAAGGCCCCCCACACUGGGACUGAGACACGGCCCAGACUCCUACGGAAGGCAGCAG
rnacentral:rRNA from 1 species